UAGUGUUAAACAGCUUUUUUAGAAUUUGCCCGGCAGGCUUUCUGGUUUUUGCUAGAACGCCCCC
ensembl:snRNA U7 U7 small nuclear RNA